GAUCAUGGCUCAGGACGAACGCUGGCGGCGUGCCUAAUACAUGCAAGUAGAACGCUGAAGGAGGAGCUUGCUUCUCUGGAUGAGUUGCGAACGGGUGAGUAACGCGUAGGUAACCUGCCUGGUAGCGGGGGAUAACUAUUGGAAACGAUAGCUAAUACCGCAUAAUAUUGACUAUUGCAUGAUAGUCAGUUGAAAGGUGCAACUGCACCACUACCAGAUGG
rnacentral:rRNA from 1 species